UACGUAGGGGGCGAGCGUUGUCCGAAGUUACUGGGCGUAAAGCGCGCGUAGGCGGGAAAUUAAGUGAGAAGUGAAAGGCUGGGGCUCAACCUCAUGCAGUGCUUCUCAUACUGGUUUUCUUGAGGGCGGUAGAGAAAAGUGGAAUGGCUGGUGUAGCGGUGAAAUGCGUAGAGAUGUGGAGGAACACCGAUGGCGAAGGCAGCCUCCUGGGCCAGUACUGACGCUCAUGCACGAAAGCGUGGGGAGCAAACAGG
rnacentral:rRNA from 1 species